rnacentral:rRNA from 1 species
UGAAUACGAGAUGCUACGGCGUCGAAGCAGUCUAUGUCAUACUUCCAAGAAAAGCUUGCACUGUCAUAAACAAAUAAUGCCUGUACCAUAACCGACACAGGUGGGUAGGUAGAGUAUACUAAGGGGCGCGAGAUAACUCUCUCUAAGGAACUCGGCAAAAUGACUCCGUAACUUCGGGAGAAGGAGUGCCUUAUUUAUAAGGUUGCAAUAACAAGACCCAAGCAACUGUUUAUCAAAAACACAGGUCUCCGCUAAGUCGUAAGACGAUGUAUGGGGGCUGACGCCUGCCCAGUGCCAGAAGGUUAAAGAAGUUGGUUAGCAUUAGCGAAGCUGAUGACUGAAGCCCUGGUGAACGGCGGCCGUAACAAUAACGGUCCUAAGGUAGCGAAAUUCCUUGUCGGGUAAGUUCCGACCCGCACGAAAGGCGUAAUGAUUUGGGUACUGUCUCAGAGAGGGACUCGGUGAAAUAGACUUGUCUGUGAAGAUGCGGACUACCUGCACCUGGACAGAAAGACCCUAUGAAGCUUUACUGUAACCUGAAAUUGAAAUUGGACUUUAUUUGCGCAGUAUAGGUGGGAGGCUUUGAAGAUAUUCUUGCGGGAAUGUUGGAGCCAUCAGUGAGAUACCACUCUUGUAAUGUUAGAUUUCUAACUUUGUAUCAUUAUCUGGUCAAAGAACAGUUUCAGGCGGGCAGUUUGACUGGGGCGGUCGCCUCCUAAACGGUAACGGAGGCGCACAAAGGUUUCCUCUGAACGGGUAGAAAUCGUAUCUAGAGUGUAAAGGCAUAAGGAAGCUGACUGUGAGACCUACAAGUCGAGCAGGGACGAAAGUCGGUCUUAGUGAUCUGACGGUGCUGAGUGGAAAGGCCGUCACUCAACGGAUAAAAGUUACUCUAGGAUAACAGGCUGAUCUCCCCCAAGAGUUCACAUCGACGGGGAGGUUUGGCACCUCGAUGUCGGCUCAUCGCAUCCUGGGGCGGUAGUACGUCCCAAGGGUUGGGCUGUUCGCCCAUGAAAGCGGUACGCGAGCUGGGUUCAGAACGUCGUGAGACAGUUCGGUCCAUAUCCGGUGUAGGCGCUAGAAUAUUGAGAGGAGCCUUCUCUAGUACGAGAGGACCGAGAAGGACAUACCUCUGGUGUACCAGUUAUCGUGCCAACGGUAAACGCUGGGUAGCUAUGUGUGGAGCGGAUAACCGCUGAAAGCAUCUAAGUGGGAAGCCCACCUCAAGAUAAGUAUUCUCAUC